UUUUGAUUCCUGAUUGGACUCAGGAGGGAACUGCCCUUAAAUGAACUCAAGUGAAAUAAAUUAACCCUGAUGAACUGAUUACUGCUAAUAGUAGUUAAGGUCCCCACCCCAACUUUACUUUUUGCUUGGGAUGUGGAGUUUGGAGGAUCAGCCCUUUAGGGCAGCAGUGUCCCUUUGUAUGUGAGUUGUUUGUUAUAGGGGAAAGUGGGACUUGAGGCUUCUGGAGCACCCUACAAACCCCAGGCGCAGACACAGAUCCAGCAGCUCCUCCUCCUACGGCUCCAGGAGGAAGCGCAGCCGCUCCAGGGGCAGAGGCAAAUCCUACAGAUCCCAGAGGUCCAGGUCCAAGAGCAGAACCAGGAGGUAAGAGACUCCCCCAGGAAAAAACAGAGUUAUUUCUACUGCAGAAACACUCCUGGGAAUCCUGAGCUUGGAGUAAAUGGAAAUCAUGGCUGCAGGUGAUGUUUAAACCACACAUCCCUUGAAAUCCCUAAUUUGGGGUCUCCUGAUUGCUUUCCACACAUUGAAUCUUUCAGUUGCCCUGGUGAUAUAAUCUUGAAGAUAUUUAUUUUGCAUUUGAUUCAAGCAAAAA
rnacentral:lncRNA from 12 species